ACAUUAACAUAAACUGUCAGUCAUUUGUGCAUCUACAUCUCUUUUGUUAACUGUUAUUUAAGUAAAUCACACUGAAGAUAUAACAACAUAAACUGUCAGUCAUUUGUGCAUCUGCAUCUCUUUUGUUAACUGUUAUUUAAGUAAAUCACACUGAAGAUAUAACAUUAACAUAAACUGUCAGUCAUUUGUGCAUCUGCAUCUCUUUUGUUAACUGUUAUUUAAGUAAAUCACACUGAAGAUAUAACAUUAAAAUAAACUGUCAGUCAUUUGUGCAUCUACAUCUCUUUUGUUAACUGUUACUGAAGUAAAUCACACUGAAGAUAUAACAUUAACAUAAACUGUCAGUCAUUUUGAUUAGCUAGCUGUACAUAAACAACAUGAAUCAAAUAAGAUAAUCGACAGUUGUCAUUCUGAAAAGUAAGAGUCCAACAUAGGGACAACAUUGUUCUCUAUCAUAUAUUUAUCAAAUGAAGAGAGAGAGAAAAAAGAAAAAAAAAACACAUCUUAUUCUUACUGUAUUGUAACUCUAUAUAAAAAGAGGUAUAAACAUAAAAACAGAAAAUUAAUUAACUUUCCUAAUGAAUAUGUUAGGUCCUUCAUUAUUUAUAUACUUCAGGUCACCUCUAUCUCCUAAUAUUAUAAAAUGAUGUCUAACUAGUGUAGCAUAUAGCUAAGUCACAUCUAAUUAAUAAUAUAUGAGUUUAAUUAUAUGUUCUAUUUAUAUAGAAUGUUAAUUAUAAUUUCUAUAUAUGUAUCCCUCACUAACAUUAAAAAAAACUCUACAUGUCCUUUCAGAUUAGUUCUGAAAUAGUAAACCAAUACCUACUUAUUUAAAAAAAACAAAAAAAAAGGAAAAGAAAAAGAAACAAAUAUUCCCUGUACCCCAAUUAUUUAUUAUAUACUACAAGUCUUUUUUUGUUAUAUGAAAAGUAGGUAUAAUCAAAUGUUCCUAUGUGCUUAAAGUGCUGUAAAACAUCAGCUUUUAAUGUUAAUCAUACUUCCAAUGCUUAAAACAGUUGACUUCAGAUUUCCAAGCCUGGAAACCUUACAGAACGCUCACGAUGGGGGACAGUUAAUGCAGACGGACUUCCGGAAGCGCCAUACUUUCCCUCAGCAGCAUCCAAGGCAUUUCCUGUCUCCUCGUCAAUGUAAACACUUCGUGAAAGUCAUAAAACUUCAGAAAACAGACACAAAUAACCAGGAUCAACAAAACAAAGCCCUUAUCUAUUCCAAAAGAGGCCUAAAGCAUUUAAAAUGAAAACAAAGGAUUACCAAGACCUCGAGCCACAGCAACAGAUGAAUCCAACCUCGGACAGCAUGUUAGUCUCAACGGAAAGCCAGAUCAAGUCUCAGAAGCAGAUGGAACAACCUUUACAAUAACAAAAAGUUGGAGCACACAGACAAUACUUACAGACCUGAUGGACAGGCCUGAUGGAGAUGAGUCAUACAAAUGAUCUUCCAGGGUAACUCCCUGAACAAGCCACUUGUAGCUCCUGCCAUGUCCUGGAAAAUAUUCCACAUCAUGUCCCUCAUCUGUGUUCAAGGCACAUCAUUCGCACUCUCCUGGACCUACUCCAGAUAAUCAUCUGUCUGUUGUUCCUCGCAUUGUCUGCUCCAGGGUGCAUCAGGGAUGAUGGCACAUGCAGGUGCAGAUAACGCACCAGCUCUUAGAAAUAGUAUCACCACCCAAACUAAUCAGAGACUGCUUCGGUUCUCUAAUAAACUUCAAAUUCUUACAAUCAAAACCAACAACACAGCAGGAGUAUCUCAGUAUCCAGUCGGACUAUCCUGGUCAACAAAUGUAAAAUAAAUAAAUAAAUGUAAGCACAUGUCCAAGUUCCAGUUUCACCGAUACCAUUUUCUCAGAAUAUGCUGAUGUUUUAGACAACAAGUUGGGCAAACUUCCAUUUGUCUUCUCCAUGAAAAUAGACCCAGAGGUCAGUCCAGUGGUCAGACCGUCGAGAAGAAUUCCAGUAGCCACACAGAAUAAAGUCAAGGUCCAAUUGGAUAAAAUGGUGCAGCAAGAACCAAUCAAAUGGGUGUCUUCCAUGGUAGCUGCUUAUAAAAAGAGUUCAGAUGAAAUCAGAAUAUGAUUUGAUCCAAGAGAAUAAGGCAUAAAAGAGACCCCAUCAUCCUAUGCAUACAGUAGAAGAGGUUGCUGCUCUAAUGCCAAGUGCCACUGUUUUUUCUGCUUUGGAUGCAAAGAGUUCAUUUUGGAAAGUGAUGCUUGAUUGCAAAUCUUCAAUACUGACUAUAUUCACUACCCUAUUUGGCAGAUACUGAUUCUUUAGGAUGCCUUUUGGUAUAAAUUCUGCAAGUGAAGUCUUUCAGCAUGCAAUGGAACAAUUUUUUUGGGUUAUCCAUGUGCCAUUAUUGUUGAUGAUUUACUGGUUGGAGGCAAUGGAGAAGCAGAGCAUGGCCAAAACCUCAGAAAAGUUCUGGACAGAGCAUGUGACGUGAACUUGAAGCUCAGUCCUCUUAAGUGUAAAUUCAGGCUUCCAGAAGUCGCACAUGUAGGUCAUUUAUUUACCAGUGCUGGCUUAUGACCUGACCCAUCUAAACAAGCAGCCAUUCUUGAGAUGCAGGCUCCAGACAACAUCCAACCUUACAGCAUUUCCUUAGUAUGGUUAAGUACUUGGGCAAGUUUAUACCUGAUUUUAGUGAGUUAUCAGCACCUUUAAGAGAGCUGACAUGCAAAAAUGUUGCUUGGUUGUGGUUGGAACAGCACCACAUAACAUUGGGCAACCUUAAGCAGAGAAUUUUCAGCCCACCUACAUUGCAAUGCUAUGAUGUCAAUAAACCAGUUAUUCUUACUUGUGAUGCUUCAAAGUUUGGUCUAG